UACGGGGGGGGCAAGCGUUGUUCGGAAUUACUGGGCGUAAAGCGUGUGUAGGCGGUUUCGCAAGUCCGAUGUGAAAUCCCCGGGCUUAACCUGGGAACUGCGUUGGAAACUACGAAGCUAGAGUGCGGCAGAGGGGGGUGGAAUUCCAGGUGUAGCAGUGAAAUGCGUAGAGAUCUGGAGGAACACCGAUGGCGAAGGCAGCCCCCUGGGCUAGCACUGACGCUGAUACACGAAAGCGUGGGGAGCAAACAGG
rnacentral:rRNA from 1 species